ensembl:lncRNA
GCCCACGCCUGGCACAUGGCAGGGGCUCAGUAAGUUACUGACUAAUGAGCAGGAGCAAAGGCGUUCGCGUGCUCCAGUUCUGCCCCGACACUGCCUCUCAAGACUUCAUCACGGAGUGGCAGGUCCCACUGUCCCCAAGCAACACCAUCAGAACUUUUUAGACCUAUUGAACAAAGAGGUUUACCCCAAAGUACCCAGAUGUCACCUUUCUUUGCCUGCUUCUCAGGGCCCCAGCUGUUAAUACCUGCCCACAGGCCCUCUAUCAGCUGUAUAUCUCGAGUCCUGAGUCUGCACCUCAAAGUUGCAUCAAUCCUUAGGUUUAAAAAAAAAAAAGAAAUAUUAAGCCAACUUAGGCUGGACAGUUCAGGUAUUAUUAAAGUUCCUCCAAAGUCUUAAUAAAUUUCACAAAUAUUUAACAAGGGGAUUAAUUUAUGUAAAGAUCUGUACAUAUUUGAUAAACUAGAACCAAUUUAAUAAAUCCUGUCCUGUUUUAGUAAAUGAUGGAUUAGGGUUAUAUUUCCUACAAACAAUAAAUAUAUAAAGAAAAUAUUUGUUAUGUAUCUAUAUAUACUGUGCCUGCCUUUUCAAAGAUCAAGAAAAGAUUAUCUCUGCCAAGAGGACUUUAAAGCAUUGUGUUGUGUGUGUGUUUUUUGGGACAAGAGAAUGAAAUAACACAUUUUCAGACCAUCAAACUGAAGAUGACUUCCUGGAUGAGAUGGCAUGCCAGAGAGAAUGCCAAAACUUCGGACUAAGAGAAACUUCUAGAAUAGAAUUUUCCUGGGAUUACCCUCCCAAAAAGCUCUUCACAACUGAAGUCUUUCUUUGGGGCCUCCUUCUGGGAAAAUUCAAAUGAAGACACUGGAGAAGAGAUAAGAAAGACGGCUGCCAUAUUGUGAAGCAGCCUUGGGGAGAGGUCCAAGUGGUGAAGAAUGGAGGCUUGCAAGAAACCCCAUCAAUGCACUUGGAAGCAGAUCUUCUGAGACCUGCCAGCCACCAAGUGAGUGAGCUUGCAAGCAGCUCCUUCCCCAUUCAGGCCUUGAGACAUCUGCAUCCCCAGCCAACACUUUGACCGCCACAUCCCAAAAGAUGCUGAGCUCACCAGGCUAAGCAGCACCUAGAUACCUUACUUGCUAGAG